rnacentral:rRNA from 1 species
UACGGAGGGUGCGAGCGUUGUUCGGAAUUAUUGGGCGUAAAGCGCGUGUAGGCGGUUUGUUAAGUCUGAUGUGAAAGCCCGGGGCUCAACCCCGGAAGUGCAUUGGAUACUGGCCGACUUGAGUACGGGAGAGGGAAGUGGAAUUCCGAGUGUAGGGGUGAAAUCCGUAGAUAUUCGGAGGAACACCGGUGGCGAAGGCGGCUUCCUGGACCGAUACUGACGCUGAGACGCGAAAGCGUGGGGAGCAAACAGGAUUAGAUACCCUGGUAGUCCACGCCGUAAACGAUGGGUACUAGGUGUCGCGGGUAUUGACCCCUGCGGUGCCGAAGCUAACGCAUUAAGUACCCCGCCUGGGGAGUACGGCCGCAAGGCUAAA